CUCCGACUGACGAGUUCCAAAUAGAACGAAACGCGCGUCCUGGAU
rnacentral:hammerhead_ribozyme from 1 species